GACGAACGCUGGCGGCGUGCUUAACACAUGCAAGUCGAACGGAAGGGCCCUGCUUUUGUGGGGUGCUCGAGUGGCGAACGGGUGAGUAACACGUGAGUAACCUGCCCCUGACUUUGGGAUAACUUCAGGAAACUGGGGCUAAUACCGGAUAGGAGCUCCUGCUGCAUGGUGGGGGUUGGAAAGUUUCGGCGGUUGGGGAUGGACUCGCGGCUUAUCAGCUUGUUGGUGGGGUAGUGGCUUACCAAGGCUUUGACGGGUAGCCGGCCUGAGAGGGUGACCGGCCACAUUGGGACUGAGAUACGGCCCAGACUCCUACGGGAGGCAGCAGUGGGGAAUAUUGCACAAUGGGCGGAAGCCUGAUGCAGCAACGCCGCGUGCGGGAUGACGGCCUUCGGGUUGUAAACCGCUUUCGCCUGUGACGAAGCGUGAGUGACGGUAAUGGGUAAAGAAGCACCGGCUAACUACGUG
rnacentral:rRNA from 1 species